AAAUUUUGAUCCGAAAACCUACAAGAAUGACGUUCUUUAUCAAAUUCUCUGGGAAAACGACUACUACAACGGUCAAGUUCUCCUACUGAAAGAAACUCGAGAGGACCUUCAACAGUUCACAGAGAAUCCUCGGAAGCGGAUUAGAGUCCCAAAGGUCAUGGAGGAGGGGCUAGUUGCGGUGGAAAAAAAUCCUGAAGCGGUCAGAGAACGUAGUGACUUGAAGAAAAAAGCGAAAACCAUCCAAGCAGCUGAAGGAAAUGAAAAAAGAAAAAGCCUUAUGCGGAUCUUGGAAGAAAAAAAGGCAAUGAAAAAAACUUCUCCACUUCUUGCAAAUGAACAAAAGAGGAAGAGGGAGGAAACGCCGCCAGACAGCUUCUCUGACAGUGAUGAAGACGGAGGAGGAGUUGUACCACAACGGAUAUAUG